AGUUAGGCUGUAUAUGGUGGUGCAGCAUCCGACAUUUUUCUGAGACUGGCUUAGUUCACAUCCGUGAUUACCUCAAGUCUCAGCUGUUUCCCUACAAGUGAUAAAGCUUCAUUCUUUAUGGCUAAACAAAUUUUGCAUAGUGCAGAUAGACCACAUUUUCUCUGUCCAUUUUUCUGUUGGUGGCCACCUAGGUUGGUUCAGUAACUUAGCCGUUGUGAAUGACGCCGCAGACCGUACUGAAGGGAAGGGUCUCUGUCACGUGUUAACUUGGAGUCUUUCGGCUAAAUAGGAAUGGCAUACCGCUUGUUCAUUUUUAAAGAAACAUUCAAAAAUAAGAAUACGGACUUCCGCAGUGGCCAGUCCAGUUUCCUUUCCCAUCAGCAGUGUUUAAGGGAUUCCUCGCCCAUCUCCUCACCAGCACUGGUUGCCAUGUGUUUUCUUAGUGACCGUAGGGCACAGAGUGAAGAGAAACGGACAUUGACAGUGGAGAAAUUGUUUCAAUCCUGUAAGGACUGAAAGGAGAAAGGAUGAAUCGUAAGGGGCUGUGGGCCGAGGAUCACCGUUCUUGUUGGAGAUCCUGACAUCAUUUGGGGUGAUUUGAAUCUGGCUGCGUAGGCACAGGCAUCGGAGACAAGAGUAGAGAUGUGGGUUGGAGGCAAGGCAACUGACUGCCUUGGGAAAGGCUGAGGCAGUCUUACGUUUGGUAAUUCAUUUUGAAUUAAAAUAGCCACCUUACAGCCCUCCUGAGAGAACCCUGCUGCAGAGAACCCUGGAGCACAGUGACGGACCAGAAAGCCAGCCGUGCAACGUGCGCUGCCUUCUCGCAGAUGGAUGCAAACUGAGGGCUGUCCCGGCAUGAGGGAAAUGUGUAACGACAGAAGACUGUGGCCUUGUAUCCCAGGACCAACCAAUGCAGGAGGAUCGGUCAGCAUCUUCACCUUACAUGUAUUUCUACAUCCAGUUUUCCCGUUCUUCCUGGUACCAAUCACAGUGGCUUAGGGACAACCAUCUUAAUGAC